CCUACGGGGGGCUGCAGUGGGGAAUAUUGGACAAUGGGCGAAAGCCUGAUCCAGCCAUGCCGCGUGUGUGAAGAAGGCCUUCGGGUUGUAAAGCACUUUCAGUGGGGAAGAAAGCCUUGGGGCUAAUACCCUCGAGGAAGGACAUCACCCACAGAAGAAGCACCGGCUAACUCCGUGCCAGCAGCCGCGGUAAUACGGAGGGUGCGAGCGUUAAUCGGAAUUACUGGGCGUAAAGCGCGCGUAGGCGGUCUGAUAAGCCGGUUGUGAAAGCCCCGGGCUCAACCUGGGAACGGCAUCCGGAACUGUCAGGCUAGAGUGCAGGAGAGGAAGGUAGAAUUCCCGGUGUAGCGGUGAAAUGCGUAGAGAUCGGGAGGAAUACCAGUGGCGAAGGCGGCUUUCUGGACUGACACUGACGCUGAGGUGCGAAAGCGUGGGUAGCAAACAGGAUUAGAUACCCGAGUAGUC
rnacentral:rRNA from 1 species